rnacentral:rRNA from 1 species
AGUGAACGCUGGCGGUAGGCCUAACACAUGCAAGUCGAACGGCAGCACAGUAAGAGCUUGCUCUUACGGGUGGCGAGUGGCGGACGGGUGAGGAAUACAUCGGAAUCUACUUUUUCGUGGGGGAUAACGUAGGGAAACUUACGCUAAUACCGCAUACGACCUACGGGUGAAAGCAGGGGAUCUUCGGACCUUGCGCGAUUGAAUGAGCCGAUGUCGGAUUAGCUAGUUGGCGGGGAAAGGCCCACCAAGGCGACGAUCCGUAGCUGGUCUGGGAGGAUGAUCAGCCACACUGGAACUGAGACACGGUCCAGACUCCUACGGGAGGCAGCAGUGGGGAAUAUUGGACAAUGGGCGCAAGCCUGAUCCAGCCAUACCGCGUGGGUGAAGAAGGCCUUCGGGUUGUAAAGCCCUUUUGUUGGGAAAGAAAAGCAGCAGGUUAAUACCCCGCUGUUCUGACGGUACCCAAAGAAUAAGCACCGGCUAACUUCGUG